rnacentral:rRNA from 1 species
GAUGAACGCUGGCGGCGUGCCUAAUACAUGCAAGUCGAGCGAACAGACGAGGAGCUUGCUCCUCUGACGUUAGCGGCGGACGGGUGAGUAACACGUGGAUAACCUACCUAUAAGACUGGGAUAACUUCGGGAAACCGGAGCUAAUACCGGAUAAUAUAUUGAACCGCAUGGUUCAAUAGUGAAAGACGGUUUUGCUGUCACUUAUAGAUGGAUCCGCGCCGCAUUAGCUAGUUGGUAAGGUAACGGCUUACCAAGGCAACGAUGCGUAGCCGACCUGAGAGGGUGAACGGCCACACUGGAACUGAAACACGGCCCAGACUCCUAGGGGAGGCAGCAGUAGGGAAUCUUGCGCAAUGGGCGAAAGCCUGACGGAGCAACGCCGCGUGAGUGAUGAAGGUCUUCGGAUCGUAAAACUCUGUUAUUAGGGAAGAACAAAUGUGUAAGUAACUAUGCACGUCUUGACGGUACCUAAUCAGAAAGCCACGGCUAACUACGUG